rnacentral:lncRNA from 1 species
GAGGAGGGUGUGUUAUUGAAUGGUGGCUAAAGCCUCCUCGGGACGGCGCUGAGGUGAAACACGCUGAACCCGAGUGAUGUAGCUCCGCUCCCGGUCGGACCCAGUGCCCUCAGCAGCCGACGGGAGACCCCGGCCGCCGGCUCCAGGUACCUUUUUAAUGCUGAAAUGGGCAUACUAAUUGUGAACUGUGUGGUAAGAAGCUCCUUCUAAAAUAUUCACUAACUUAUUUACUGGAAUUUAACAGGCUCUGCUCUUCAAAGCUUUCCUUGCCUUUAAUCACGUGAACAAACCUUUCAAGUCAUGUUGUCAGCUCGAGAUCUGGCAGAGGAACAGCAGUGUGGAAGCAGCCCCUGCCAUUAGCCAAGGUACAGAAAGGAGCUGGUGACCUGCGACAGGACGAAAGACCUCACUUACCAAGAUUUGCUCACGGUUAUGCUUCUGGCAACUGACAUUUCAAUUUUACUCAAAGCUUCUAUAUCUGUGUCAUCAGAUGAAGCCCCAUGAGUGGUGGCAGAGCCUUCUGAAACUGUGGCCUUCAUUUUCAAGUUUGAAGAGAAAAAACUAUUUACAUGCCUAAAUUCCAGAACUUGCUGUUCAGAGAGGAAACACUAAGAAGUCAGCAUUAUUUAACAGAAAUGAACAAAUGGAAAGGUAUUUAUUUGCCAAACUGCAAGAGGAUGUCAGAAACGGUCUCUGCCAGUUGUCUUCAAUAGCCUUUCAUAUGAAGUAGCACUACUAUAAGCUGUUGUGUCAAAAAUCAGAUAGGAUCUUAAAGAAAGCAAAGUGUAUAUCAAUCUAUUCACACUCAGGUGGUAUUCAGAGUCUAUCAAGAGGAGAAUAAGGUCUGUAAUUGUUAUUUUUAAGAAGCAUGGAGGGCAUCCAGAAGAGUUGAAGUGGGAGCCCUUUCAAGUAUAUACCCCGAAGAAGCAAAAGGAGUAGUAAUAAACCUAAACUUUUCCCUGUAAAGUGGAAGACUGUUGGA